AAAAAAAAGACAAUGGGUGGCUGACUCGCUUUCCUGAAGUCACUUGAUGUGUCUCAGGUGGCCACAGUUGUUCUGUGUGGGGUGUGUGUGUGUGUGUUAUCAACAUCACCUGUUCAUUGUGCUCUUAUCUUGUUCUUCUUAAACUUCUGGUGCCCAAGGUUUGGAGCCAAGGAAUUGAGGAAGAUGGAGGGACUUUCACAAUCAUGAUUGUGUUGUCUGAAGUUCUAUGAAAAACCGCAGAACUGACAGCAGCAGCCUUUCUUCUGUCUCUGGCUUUUCGAAUGAGGAGUCUUCAAAAAGUUCGUGGAAAAUGCAUGUCAUGAAAAAAAAUUGCAUAUAUUUUACAAAGUUUUUGUGUCAAAAUGAACAUAUUUGAAUUUUAUUUUCUAUAUUCUUUGGAAACUUAGCAAACUCUGGGAUGGUGCUAUGGUUUGGAUGUUAGUUUGGGUGUUGAAUGUUCCCCAAAGGCCCAUGUGUUGAAGGUUUGGGCCCAGCAGUCUUACAUUAACCAAGGGGGUGGGUACUUUAUCCAAUUGUGGUGUUUGGAAGCGGAGCGUGAUGGCAUUGGGCUGGAUCAUCAGGAUGGCGCUCCUGGGAUUAAACCUGAUGACUGUAAGAGACCGCACACACAGAGAGGCAGACUCCUUCCUCCCUUGCAAUGUGCUGUACGACCUUGGGUCCUCGCCAAGCAAGAACCUCAUCACAGGGGCUGAACCAAGGAUCCCAUCUGAUGUUGCAUUAUGGACCUCCAAAAUCACGAGAUGAAAUAAAUAUCUUCUCUUUAUGAAUUUAUUUGCUUCAGGCAUUUGUUACCAACCAACCCUCCCUCUGUUUUGCUUGAUUGUGGUGCUUGAUUGUCUCAUCCGGCUAGAAGAGCAACUCUAAUGGGCGCUGCCUGCCCCUAUGACGGUGGCUGAGCUGCUGUGGGAGAGUGUGCUUCAAAGCACCCGUGACGGGAUUCUGGUCUUCCAAACACUUUGACUUCAAGUUGAGAAGAGGGCUUCUACACCCACGUAAAGCGUUCUGCUCACCUACCGCAUUCUCUUUUCUCCACAUUCCCUACCUGGAUCACCAUCUUCUCCCUCUGAAGAAUUCCAAGAGGUCUUGUAAGGCCAUUUCCAAUAACACGACUAUCGUACCAUAUUUACUGAUAAGAACAGUAAAGAGACAAGAGAAACAUGAGAUUUGCUCUUCAUUUGUGUUGACUUCAGCCAAGAGUCUCAGUUUCAUGACUAUGGCUUGCUUUAGAACUAUUGCUUCCUGUUAAUGCACACUUUGGGAGGCAGCAGGUGAUGGCUCAAGUCGUUGGUCCCUGCCACUCAUCUGUGAGACCUGGACUGAGUUUCUGGCUGCUGGCUUUGGCUGGGGUAAAGAAUUCAGAACGUUGUAUGAGAAAGAAAAAGAAAAAAGGGAAAAAAAGAACAACUGUUCCUCAACAGUCCAGACAAGGGUUGUUCAAAGUCAUUGCAUCUCAAAGUGUCUCAUCAUCGAUCUCCUUCCCUUAGGAAGUCUUCAUUCUUCCAAGGUGAGUUACAUGUUUCUCCUAAACUGGGUAUAAUGUUUGUUGCAUGACUGUAUGAGUGUACUUCAAAAGGUUCAUGAAAAAAAAAAAAGGAUCUGCAAAGUAAGUUCAUUUUGGUGCAAAUAAUGGAAAUUUAUACCAUUUUUUCAUAAUACACAUUUCCAUGAACUUGCUGAAGACCCCUUCUGUAUAUGGAUUUCAUUUUUUUAGUGCCCAAAUGAACUUUAAUUCCAUAUUGGACUUUUUGAAAUACCUUUGUACAUGCUUGCACGAGGUACUCACUCCAUGUCCUGGUGAAGAGUUCUGAUCCAAAACAUUCCAUUAUGUGAUGUUGUCUUUGUCUUCACAUGAGCCAAACGAUCUGUCAAACAUUGUCCCAAGGGCUUUGAGCCCACGUAUUUGUAGGCAUCGAUGAUGCGGGGCAUAGGUGCCGCUGUUUUCCUUAAUUGGACAUGUUUAUUCUGAUGACUUGCAGAUAAGCAGGGCUCAGGAAAUAUGGGCAGGAGAAAGGCUUUAAUGAUGUUUGCUUGAUUACGAUUAUGAAACUGCGCUGCAGACUUUUCCCCAUCAUUUACUCAAGUGGUUGCUAAGUAAUUUCCAAUCCAGUCCCACAAUUAGAAUGAAUGGGCUUGGCUGCUGGUUGGCCAGGAAACUGUUUUGUUCACCACUGAUUCAUUCAUUAGGGCUUGUCAUAAACUGUGACUGGAUGCAGCGAAAGGCUUUGCACAGAGUCCAAGAAACAAGAUGAAUAAAAGAGAAAAUCCUCCUGAGUUCCCUUUUCCUUCUAACAUUCUGUUCUCCUGUUUAACCAAUGCAUACUACAGCAGUGUAAUGUUUUAGUGCUUAGAGCAUUAAAAAUAGGUCUUUUCAAUGUUAAUUAAGAUAAAAACUGAAUGUCCAAAGGCAAUAUAAAAUUUUGCUACGUCAAAUAACUGUAACUAUAAUAAAAUAAUUAGCUUUAUUAUAGCAAACCCUCAAUAGAGAGUGCUGGCAAUGUGGCAGGCAUGGAGUAUCUUGUGUAUAUUAACUCAUUCAUUCCUCACAGUGAUCUUAUAUGGUGGGGACUCUUAUUAUCUUUAUUUUACAAACGAGAAAAUGGAGGCAUAGAGAAUUAGGGAUUUAGACUGAAGUUAUGCAAGACAAGGAUUAAAAUUCCAUUUAUUGGUUAUUUUAUAUAUAUCAUAUUUAAGAUUUAUUUAUUUGAAAGGCAGAGUGUCAGAGAGAAGGUGGGAUAGAGAGACAAAGAGAAAGAAAGAGAUCUUCCAUUCAUUGAUUCACUCUGUAAAUGACUACAAGGGCCAGUGCUGGGCCAGGUUGAAGCCAGGAGUCUGGAACUCCAUCCAGGUCUCCUGUGUGGGUGGGAGGGGCCUAAGUACUUGGGUCAUCAUUGUCUGCUUUCUUAGGCACAUGAGCAGGGAGCUGGGACUGGAAGUGGAGCAGCAGAGUCUAGAACUGGCACUCACAGAGUAUGCUGAUGGGUGUCACAGGCAGGAGCUUAACCUGCUAGGCCAUAACGUGGGCCCUUAUCUGUUCUUUUUUUCAAUUUUUAAUUUAUUUUUAAUUUAUUUUGUUUUUUGACAGGCAGAGUGGACAGUGAGAGAGAGAGAGACAGAGAGAAAGGUCUUCCUUUGCUUUUGGUUCAUCCUCCAAAGGCCUCUGCGGCCUGUGCGCUGCGGCCGGCGCACUAUGCUGAUCCGAUGGCAGGAGCCAGGUACUUCUCCUGGUCUCCCAUGGGGUGCAGGGCCCAAGCACUUGGGCCAUCCUCCACUGCACUCCCUGGCCACAGCAGAGAGCUGGCCUGGAAGAGGGGCAACUGGGACAGAAUCCGGCACCCCGACCGGGACUAGAACCUGGUGUGCCGGCGCCGCAGGUAGCCUAGUGAGCUGUGGUGCCGGCCCCUUAUCUGUUCUUAAAGUCUCAUCAGUUCAGGAGCUUUAUCUGGGUCUCCCACAUGGGUGCAGGGGCCCAAAGAUUUGGGCCAUUUUCCGAUGCUUUCCCCAGGCCAUUGUCAGGGAGCUGGAUUGGAAGUGGAGCAGCCAUGACUUGAACCCUAUGGGAUGCCAGCAUUGCAGGCUCUACAUGCUAAGCCACCACACCAGCACUUUACAGGGAUUUUCAGUUAGAGAGGUCCUGUUGAAUGGAAUUUAAAGAUGUGGAAAUCUAAGGGAUUAAUAUUAACAUAACAUUGGGGUGCCUAUUGUUAGUUUCGUGCAUAUUUAAUUUCUGCAUUUCUGAGUCACUCACCUUGCCAUUGUGGGAUAAUAUACUGAUGUGAUGUAGGACCACUGAUGACACUGAUUACUGAGUUUUCACUAAUGGAAUUAGACCUUAAUAUAUUGGGCGACUGACAUUUGGCUCUUUUAGAAUUUGGGAGUUACCCAAGACUAGUGUCUGCAAAUACUAGCUGAUAGAAUACAAAAGGGAGAGAACGAUCCAACAUGGGAAGCGAGAUACACAGCAGACCCAUAGAAUGGCAGAUGUCCUAAACAGCACUCUGGCCUCAGAAUCAGCCCUUAAGGCAUGCGGAUCUGGCUGAAAAGCCCAUGAGAGUAUUACAGGCAUGGAAAGCCAAAACACUCUGGCAAAAAAAAAAAAAAAAAAAAAAAAAAUCAAAUCCCAGUGAAAAGAACAGGUCAUCAAAGAAGGAGGUACCUUUCUCUGAAGGGAGGAGAGAACUUCCACUUUGGCCAUGGCCUUGUCUAAAUGUGAUCAGAGUCGGUGAACUCAAAAGGCUUCCAUAGCCUUGGCAACUCAUGACAAGAGCCUAGGGUGAUUACUGAUGCCAUAAACAAGAGUGUCAAUUUGUUAAGUCAACAACAGGAGUCACUAUGCACUUACUCCUUAUGUAGGAUCUCUGUCCUUAAUGUGCUGUACAUUGAGAUUUAAUGCUAUAACUAGUACUCAAACAGUAGUUUUCACUUUGUGUUUCUAUGUGGGUGCAAACUGUUGAAAUCUUUACUUAAUAUAUGCUAAACUGAUCUUCUGUAUAUAAAGAGAAUUGAAAAUGAAUCUUGAUGUGAAUGGAAGGGGGGAGGGAGAGGGAAAGGGGAGGGUUGCAGGUGGGAGGGAAG